rnacentral:rRNA from 3 species
GAGUAACACGUGGAUAACCUACCUAUAAGACUGGGAUAACUUCGGGAAACCGGAGCUAAUACCGGAUAAUAUUUUGAACCGCAUGGUUCAAAAGUGAAAGACGGUCUUGCUGUCACUUAUAGAUGGAUCCGCGCUGCAUUAGCUAGUUGGUAAGGUAACGGCUUACCAAGGCAACGAUGCAUAGCCGACCUGAGAGGGUGAUCGGCCACACUGGAACUGAGACACGGUCCAGACUCCUACGGGAGGCAGCAGUAGGGAAUCUUCCGCAAUGGGCGAAAGCCUGACGGAGCAACGCCGCGUGAGUGAUGAAGGUCUUCGGAUCGUAAAACUCUGUUAUUAGGGAAGAACAUAUGUGUAAGUAACUGUGCACAUCUUGACGGUACCUAAUCAGAAAGCCACGGCUAACUACGUGCCAGCAGCCGCGGUAAUACGUAGGUGGCAAGCGUUAUCCGGAAUUAUUGGGCGUAAAGCGCGCGUAGGCGGUUUUUUAAGUCUGAUGUGAAAGCCCACGGCUCAACCGUGGAGGGUCAUUGGAAACUGGAAAACUUGAGUGCAGAAGAGGAAAGUGGAAUUCCAUGUGUAGCGGUGAAAUGCGCAGAGAUAUGGAGGAACACCAGUGGCGAAGGCGACUUUCUGGUCUGUAACUGACGCUGAUGUGCGAAAGCGUGGGGAUCAAACAGGAUUAGAUACCCUGGUAGUCCACGCCGUAAACGAUGAGUGCUAAGUGUUAGGGGGUUUCCGCCCCUUAGUGCUGCAGCUAACGCAUUAAGCACUCCGCCUGGGGAGUACGACCGCAAGGUUGAAACUCAAAGGAAUUGACGGGGACCCGCACAAGCGGUGGAGCAUGUGGUUUAAUUCGAAGCAACGCGAAGAACCUUACCAAAUCUUGACAUCCUUUGACAACUCUAGAGAUAGAGCUUUCCCCUUCGGGGGACAAAGUGACAGGUGGUGCAUGGUUGUCGUCAGCUCGUGUCGUGAGAUGUUGGGUUAAGUCCCGCAACGAGCGCAACCCUUAAGCUUAGUUGCCAUCAUUAAGUUGGGCACUCUAAGUUGACUGCCGGUGACAAACCGGAGGAAGGUGGGGAUGACGUCAAAUCAUCAUGCCCCUUAUGAUUUGGGCUACACACGUGCUACAAUGGACAAUACAAAGGGCAGCGAAACCGUGAGGUCAAGCAAAUCCCAUAAAGUUGUUCUCAGUUCGGAUUGUAGUCUGCAACUCGACUACAUGAAGCUGGAAUCGCUAGUAAUCGUAGAUCAGCAUGCUACGGUGAAUACGUUCCCGGGUCUUGUACACACCGCCCGUCACACCACGAGAGUUUGUAACACCCGAAGCCGGUGGAGUAACCUUUUAGGAGCUAGCCGUCGAAGGUGGGACAAAUGAUUGGGGUGAAGUCGUAACAAGGUAGCCGUAUCGGAAGGUGCGGCUGGAUCACCU